AGAACGAACGCUGGCGGCAGGCCUAAAACAUGCAAGUCGAACGCUCUAGCAAUAGAGAGUGGCGCACGGGUGCGUAACAUGUGGGAAUAUGCCUUUUGGUACGGAACAACUUUUGGAAACGAAAGCUAAUACCGUAUGGUCCCUUCGGGGUAAAGAUUUAUCGCCAAAAGAGUAGCCCGCACUGGAUUAGCUAGUUGGUAAGGUAAUGGCUUACCAAGGCGACGAUCCAUAGCUGGUCUGAGAGGACGAUCAGCCACACUGGGACUGAGACACGGCCCAGACUCCUACGGGAGGCAGCAGUUAGGAAUCUUGGACAAUGGGCGCAAGCCUGAUCCAGCCAUGCCGCGUGGAUGAUGAAGGCCUUAGGGUUGUAAAGUCCUUUUAACGGGGAAGAUAAUGACGGUACCCGUAGAAUAAGCCCCGGCUAACUUCGUGCCAGCAGCCGC
rnacentral:rRNA from 1 species